UAUUUGAUAAGUUCCUACGUGGAACGGAACGUUCCACAGCUGUCAAAAUAAUUUUACAGAACCUAUUGUAAUUGUUUAAGGGUUCAUUGACAUCAUACUCGAAAUCCAAAAGUAAUCGAUUAACAGUUUCAGAAUAAAGAUCCCAAUUAACGAGACGUAGGUUUAUACGAUUUAACAAAAGUUUAUUAACUUCAUCUAUAGGAGCAUGUUGUUCACCUGACGGAGUUGAUGAAGAGUUCUUUGUGUUUAUUUUAGUAAAAGUCGGCAGAUGCUGCAACGCUCAGAAUUCUUACAGAAUUUAGCUAAAUGUCCAUACCUCAAGCACCGGUAGCAUUGUUUAACUGGUGGUAUAUAUGGAGUGACAUUGUGGCGCCAACCUCCAAUAUCCAGAUAUUCAGGUAAUACAGAUGCAGCAAAAGUAAUUGUCACGGUUAGAGUUGGCUGUAACACAUAUCCAUGAGUCAAGAUUCUGAGUCAGUAGAAGUAUCUUCCGAAUAUAUAUCCUUGUCAUUACAAGGUUCAUGGUCUACAUCACCUGAAUCGUCAUCUUUUUUUUUCCUUUUUCUACAACUGCGCUUCCCCAUGAAUGCUAAUUAUAUUACUGUCGCUGAAUUUAGUGAAAAUAUAAUAUUUUAUUCAAUAAUAAGAAUUGAUAGAGAUAGUUUUAAUAAAUUAAUAAAAAAAAUUUAAAAAACCCGCUUGUUCUUAUUCGAGUUUCCCGCCU